UACUCCCCUCAUUUUUAAACAGACACCAGUCGCCAAGUUAAUCGAUUUCAUUGCCAGACUGAGAAUUCUCCAAGCCUUCUGAAUUUAAUUUAAACUGAUUGCAUACUGAAUGAGUUUGAAGGACUGUAAGGCAAAAGUGCAUCUGCUCCAGAACUGAUCUACCAAAUGUUCAUUGGUUUGUGCUGGUGCGAAGAGCAUUCUGAGUCCAGCGGCCCAGCCCCGGAGGACGUGGUGAUCUACUGUAGGCACACGGGUAUAAACAAGAGUCGCCGUGCAGCAACGUAAGUGCUACCCAAGGAGGGUUCAAGAUGCUAUCAACCUCUCACAGCAAAUGGAAAAUGUAAGACUUAACACAAUCACCCCAAGCCUCUACAUUUUAAUGAGAAUCACGAUUGGAGAAGGAAACACCCUGAAAAAAACCAAGAUUGAAUUACAGUCUACCUAACAGCAGAACAAAUAGUUGGGCAUUCGUCUUUCCUCACCUUUAGAAAACGUGAGCUAACUGCUUCCUUUGUCAGCUUGUCUGAGAAUGCCCCUUCCGCUCUUGUCAUUUCUUUGUAUUUCCCUCCCUUCCUCCCUUGGCCAGGGCCUUUCUCCCGGGGUGUAAUUAUGUUUUUACUUUGUAGUUGGUCUUUGGCCACUGAGUUCCCUCAGGAGAGGAACUCAUAUUCCCUAAAUCACCUGACUUUUCAGUAUAUCCUCCUUGAUUCCUGGCUUUCUUAAAAAUACAAAUAAACCAAUUCCCUAUUAAAAUACUUAAGAACUUGGAGUGGACAGGGAAUUCAGAAUCCUAAAAUACAGGUUCAACCUUCAACCUUUCAGCUAUUUUGGAGUAUUUAUAAUGCAGCUCUCUAAACGACAUGGAAAUUGGGAUGGAAAUCAAAACUGUUAGCCCGUUCAAGGCAGACUUUCUAACUGUGAGAUCAUGACCUGAGCCGAAGUCAGACACUUAACCGACUGAGCCACCCAGGCGCCCCUAUAAGCAUAAUUUAUUACUACCUACUUCUCUUCUGACCCCAUUGGACAAAAUGGCUCAGGGGCUGUAUGAUACUCCAAAUUCACAUCCAGGUUACGGUCAGUCACAAGGAUCUACAAUUAGCUGAAUUGUAAAGGUAUACCACUCUGAGUGUCGCUUGUGAGUGACAGAAAACCCAACUCAAACAGCAGGAUCGAGCAGAUAUCUGAAUAGCUAAAGUCCAUCUCUGUCUCCCAAGAGUUAAAUCGACAAACAAAAAAUGGAAUUGAGUCCCACUGAAAGAAUUGAAGAUCUCUGCUGAAACCAGUCACUGUGGACAGGGGGAUUCCACCUCCUCACUGGCCAUUCUGAGACACAGGUCCAAACUCAGAGCUAGGGUUCAAGGCAGCUCAGCAAACCACAUGGGCCAAUGAUGGAACAAGGCAAGCACUGGUUCUGUUACUGGAAGAACGGGGAAAGGAUGUUGGGGAACUGAAAUCAAGAAAUGUCCAUGAUCACAUACAGAAACUCUACUCUUUUACAUCCUCUCCAACACCAAUUUCGUUACUGAUGUCACAAAUACCAUCUUUUUAUAUUUUGUAUCCAUUAACAUGGGGAUAUAGUUUGUAUUUUGGGCUUUUAUCCUUUGAAUCCUACACCAAAAUUAAAAGUGAUUUAUGCACCACCAUUCCAAUAUUACGGGAUUAUGU